rnacentral:rRNA from 1 species
UACCAGCACCCCGAGUGGUCGGGACGAUUAUUGGGCCUAAAGCAUCCGUAGCCGGUUCUGCAAGUCCCCCGUUAAAUCCAGCUGCUUAACAGAUGGGCUGCGGAAGAUACUAUAGAGCUAGGAGGCGGGAGAGGCAAGCGGUACUCGAUGGGUAGGGGUAAAAUCCGUUGAUCCAUUGAAGACCACCAGUGGCGAAGGCGGCUUGCCAGAACGCGCUCGACGGUGAGGGAUGAAAGCUGGGGGAGCAAACCGG